AGGACGAACGCUGGCGGCGUGCUUAACACAUGCAAGUCGAGCGGUAAGGCCUUUCGGGGUACACGAGCGGCGAACGGGUGAGUAACACGUGGGUGAUCUGCCCUGCACUUCGGGAUAAGCCUGGGAAACUGGGUCUAAUACCGGAUAUGACCUCCUAUCGCAUGGUGGGUGGUGGAAAGAUUUAUCGGUGCAGGAUGGGCCCGCGGCCUAUCAGCUUGUUGGUGGGUAAUGGCCUACCAAGGCGACG
rnacentral:rRNA from 1 species